UACGGAGGAUGCGAGCGUUAUCCGGAUUUAUUGGGUUUAAAGGGUGCGUAGGCGGGAUGCCAAGUCAGCUGUAAAAAUGCGGUGCUCAACGCCGUCGAGCCGUUGAAACUGGCGUUCUUGAGUGGGCGAGAAGUAUGCGGAAUGCGUGGUGUAGCGGUGAAAUGCAUAGAUAUCACGCAGAACUCCGAUUGCGAAGGCAGCAUACCGGCGCCCUACUGACGCUGAGGCACGAAAGCGUGGGUAUCGAACAGG
rnacentral:rRNA from 1 species